UUCAGUCUUAGGGUUUAUUAGGGCUACGUGUAGAAUCUUUUUAUUUCAUUUUUAUCUUCUUUCCUCUCUUUGUCUGAAUUUUCGCUUUCUUUCGCAAGUCUAAAGCAUCCAAAGUUGUCUGACUUCUGUCUGGUUCUAAAAUAUCUCCACCUUCUUCCUCUUCAUAUAUUCUUGGUUUAAGCUCAUGAAAAUGGAUCUGGGCUUUUGUCUGCCUCGUCUUAUAUCUUAUGGCUCCAUUGAUUGAUUUCAUUGUGUAACAUGUGGAAGACAGGAGGGUUCAUUUUCAUAGGGAACUCUCAUGGUUUAUUGAAUUCUUUUUUUUUUAUGGGAAGUCGAGGAUAUUCUUUCUGCAACCUUGCUUUCAUUUGGUCAUUUCAUAUUAUGUCUAAUUGUUCAUAGUAAUGUCAUAUUGGGUUACCGAACCCAUUUGGAUACAACCCAUUUGGAAACAAUCUAUUUGGAUUAAUAAUUUAUUGGUUUGGGUAGAAUUUAA